GACGGCAAACCCGGAAACUGCAGCCAGCCGCUGCCGCCGCCGUGCGGAGCGGACCGGAUCGGACGUGCUGCGCCUCUCGCCGGCUGAAAACCCGACAAAAACACGGCGGUAAACCUAUGGAGGUGACUUACAGUGAACCGGACUGCUCUGCUGGAUCCUCUUCGGGGCUAUGUGAACUUCACGGGGCCGCUCGGUGCUCUUCUGUCCGGUAACAGCGGCGGAUGGAGGUGGACUGAUGGCGCAUUCAGGGACCGCCGGAAAUUUAAACUACGUCAGUUAACACCAAACAGAAGAAGGAAGGAAGACUGCUUACGAAUCACUCCAAAAACAAUGUCGAGACUUCUUUGAAUGAUGCUAUUUAAUAACACAUUCUGGACUUACCUUGUGUGAUAUUAUUUCUUCUACAUACCUAGAACAUGUGGUAUUUUUCUAAUUUACAUAAAGAUCUGUGCAAUACAGACAACCUAUGCAAUAUCAAUACUUAUGCCAGUAUUUACAUUUAUGUAAUAAUCUGUUCCAUGAUACUGGCAUGUGUGAGAAUGUCAUUUCUACUUAGUACUUAUGUAUAUCCUCAUUUUGUUUUGGAUAUUUUAUUUUGUACUUUUCCUAAAUGUAUACACCAUCUUUGCUGGUGUAACACUGUGAGCACACCUGCUAAUUUAAUAAUCUCACUUUAUUGUACAGCCCUCUGGGCAGGCUGACCAUUGAACUAACCAUCAGAAUAAAUGAGCAACUUUCUGGUUAACUCUCAGGCUAGUUGUCAGGCUAACUAUAGGCGAACUGUCAGGCUAACUAUAGACUAAUUGUCAGGCUAACUACAGACUAACUGUCGGGCUCACUAUAGACUAACUGUCGGGCUAAUUAUAGACUAAUUGUCAGGCUAACUGUCAAGCUAACUAUAGACUAACUGUCGAGCUAACUAUAGACUAAUUGUUGGGCUAACUGUAGACUAACUAUCGGGCUAACUAUAGACUAACUGUCAGGCUAACUAUAGACUAAUUGUCAGGCUAACUGUAGACUAACUAUCGGGCUAGCUAUAGACUAACUGUCGGGCUAACUAUAGACUAAUUGUCGGGCUAACUGUAGACUAACUAUCGGGCUAACUAUAGACUGUCAGGCUAAGUGAGUAUCAGAUUAACUGUCAGACUAACAAUCAGAUUAACUGUCAGGCUAACUCUAGACUAUCAGGCUAACUGACUAACAAUCGGAUUAACUGUCAGGCUAACUGAUUAACUGACAAGCCGGGUGUCCACUAGAUGCGAUUUUCCGGCACGACAACGCACCGCAUCUGAAAAUCGCACGGAUGGCGGGAGGUCACCAGCGGGCAACAACAUGGUCACGUGACAGCGCUUUCAGCUUGACGGUCCACGAGUAUUUAUAGUUUCAGAGUUACAUCAGCACAGAAAAUGGCUGUUUUUCUGGUCAUUUUGUUUCUUGGGGUUUGCAGGUGAAAUCUGGACUCUGUAAAAAUCCCAGAGAGGCUGGUUUUCCCAGCAGCACCUGAACGCAUCUGAGGAGGACCUG
ensembl:lncRNA